rnacentral:rRNA from 1 species
GACGAACGCUGGCGGCGUGCCUAAUACAUGCAAGUCGAGCGGACGGAUGGGAGCUUGCUCCCAGACCGUCAGCGGCGGACGGGUGAGUAACACGUGGGCAACCUGCCUGUAAGACUGGGAUAACUCCGGGAAACCGGGGCUAAUACCGGAUAACUCUUUCCCUCACAUGAGGGAAAGCUGAAAGAUGGCAUCUCGCUAUCACUUACAGAUGGGCCCGCGGCGCAUUAGCUAGUUGGUGAGGUAACGGCUCACCAAGGCGACGAUGCGUAGCCGACCUGAGAGGGUGAUCGGCCACACUGGGACUGAGACACGGCCCAGACUCCUACGGGAGGCAGCAGUAGGGAAUCUGCCGCAAUGGACGAAAGUCUGACGGAGCAACGCCGCGUGAGUGAUGAAGGUUUUCGGAUCGUAAAACUCUGUUGUCAGGGAAGAACAAGUACCGGAGUAACGGCCGGUACCUUGACGGUACCUGACCAGAAAGCCACGGCUAACUACGU